AUCAUUGGUACUGCUAAAACAUUUCGUUCAUGUUUCAACAAAUUUGGUGAAGACCACUUCAUAUGUAUUUUGCAUAUAUGAGUUAUCUCCUGUUGCUUUCUAAGAUGUUAGUUCUUUCAGUUCUAGCCCUCCUAUCUUUAAUUCCUGGCUGCUGGACUACCUGCAGGACAACGAGUUCAUCUGCGGCAGCUAUCGCUGUGAGCAGUCCGUCUGCGACGCGCUCCGCAGCAUCUUCAUCGGGCACAACGAGAUCCUCAACGUCUGGAAGGAUAAAGUGAAGAAAAAGAAGAAAAGAUUACUAGAAGAUUAGUUUUAGGAUUUCCUUUUAUUUCCUUACAAUUUUCCUUUUAUUGGAUACUUGUAAAGACAUUGUAAUAUUCUUACUAUAAUAAAAAUUAUGAUUCUAUUUCAUUUUUGUUUUUAAAUUAUUUU